rnacentral:rRNA from 1 species
AGAGUUUGAUCAUGGCUCAGGAUGAACGCUAGCUACAGGCUUAACACAUGCAAGUCGAGGGGAAACGACAUCGAAAGCUUGCUUUUGAUGGGCGUCGACCGGCGGCACGGGUGAGUAACGCGUAUCCCAACCUGCCCAUCGACUUGGGGAUAACCUUGACGAAAGUAAGAACUAACUACCAAUGAUAUCUACUAGGAAGGACUAUCUAGAAAAGUAAGAAUUUAAAGGUAUUUAAGUCGGUUGAAGUUGGAGU